rnacentral:rRNA from 1 species
UACGAAGGGGGCUAGCGUUGCUCGGAAUCACUGGGCGUAAAGCGCACGUAGGCGGCUUCUUAAGUCAGGGGUGAAAUCCUGGAGCUCAACUCCAGAACUGCCUUUGAUACUGAGGAGCUCGAGUCCGGGAGAGGUGAGUGGAACUCCGAGUGUAGAGGUGAAAUUCGUAGAUAUUCGGAAGAACACCAGUGGCGAAGGCGGCUCACUGGACUGGUAUUGACGCUGAGGUGCGAAAGCGUGGGGAGCAAACAGG